rnacentral:rRNA from 1 species
CCUACGAGCGGCAGCAGUGAGGAAUAUUGGUCAAUGGACGAAAGUCUGAACCAGCCAUGUAGCGUGAAGGAUGACUGCUCUAUGGGUUGUAAACUUCUUUUAUAUGGGAAUAAAAUGUUCCACGUGUGGGGUUUUGUAUGUACCAUAUGAAUAAGGAUCGGCUAACUCCGUGCCAGCAGCCGCGGUAAUACGGAGGAUCCGAGCGUUAUCCGGAUUUAUUGGGUUUAAAGGGAGCGUAGGUGGAUUGUUAAGUCAGUUGUGAAAGUUUGCGGCUCAACCGUAAUAUUGCAGUUGAAACUGGCAGUCUAGAGGAUAGUAGAGGUGGGCGGAAUGCGUGGUGUAGCGGUGAAAUGCUUAGAUAUCACGAAGAACUCCGAUUGCGAAGGCAGUUUACUGAACUGCAACUGACACUGAGGCUCGAAAGUGUGGGGAGCAAACAGGAUUAGAUACCCGAGUAGUC